rnacentral:tRNA from 1 species
UGGCUCAGAUGGUAAAGCAUCUGCCUGCAACGUGGGAGACCCAGGUUCGAUCCCUGG